GGACUCCUUCUGGAGUGUAGAAUCCAUAAAAAUUAGCCUCGUGAUUUAAACCCUCCUGGUUUGUAAGAUAUGGCAUUUUUAGUGCACGUAUGUCCUGGUUUGCGCCUUGGCUGGUUGAGUAGGGCUUUGGGUUGACCUCCGGUUCAGUUGCUGAUCUGAUGACCACAUCAUCCCCUCCCUCUUGACAAGGUUUCGACCUCGAAACUGUAUAAUCUGCACCAAGAUAGAGCAAGUCAGCUUUCAUUCUCUUUUGAGAUUCUAAAGCCUUACCUUGGCAUUGUUUUGGUUUUGCUUCUUUAAGCAAUAUGGACUGCAUUGUCUCUUGAACAAUCUUCUGGUCCAUCACAAGAGUCACGCCUGGUGGUUCUUCU
rnacentral:lncRNA from 1 species